UUCUCGUAGUAUAGUGGUUAGUAUACCUGCCUGUCACGCGGGUGACCCGGGUUCAAUUCCCGGACGGGAAG
rnacentral:tRNA from 2 species